rnacentral:misc_RNA from 1 species
UUUCCGUAGGUGAACCUGCGGAAGGAUCAUUAAAAAUGAAGGCCAUUUAAUUUGGUCUAUUAAUAAUCCUACCCUUUGUGAAUUUGUUUGUUUGAUAAUUUGUUUCUUUAAAAUUAUUGAUGUGCUUGUUUAAUGAGCUAGAAACCAAUCAGGGGAAUGGUAUCAAAAUAACCUUUUUUAAAUUAAACAUUUUGUAUUCAUUUGUCUAAAAAUUAUUUUAUAAUAUAAAAACAACUUUUGACAAUGGAUCUCUUGGUUCUCGCAACGAUGAAGAACGCAGCAAAAUGCGAUAAGUAGUGUGAAUUGCAGAAUACGUGAAUCAUCGAAUCUUCGAACGCAUAUUGCACUUUUUUAGUUUACUAAAAAAGUAUGUCUGUUUGAGUAUCAGUAAAAUAUUCUCAUAAAAACUAUUUGUUUUUAUGGUUAUGAGUGUUUUACAACGAUACAAGUUGUUUCACUUUAAAUUUUUUUAAAAUUUGAAAUUUUUUUUCUAAUUUUAAAAUAAAAUUGGAUAAAAUUUUCCCGUAAAAAGGAAUAACCUUAAACAAUUUUAAUUUUAAUUUUAGUUUAAUUUCAAAGACUAAAAGGAAAAUUUAUUUUAAAUAACUUGAUCUCAAAUCAGAUAAGAGUACCCGCUGAACUUAAGCAUAUCAAUAAGCGGAGGAAAAGAAACUAACAAGGAUUCCCUUAGUAACGGCGAGUGAAGCGGGAAGAGCUCAAAUCUGAAAUCUUCAAGGUUCUACCUUGACGAAUUGUAGUUUAAAGAAGUGUUUUCUGUUGAGUUGGCAAAAGUUCUUUGGAAUAGGCAUCAUAGAGGGUGAGAAUCCCGUAUUUGACCAUUAUUUCAGCUGUGUGAUACACUUUCAAAGAGUCGGAUUGUUUGGGAAUGCAGUCCAAAAUGGUGGUAAAUUUCAUCUAAGCUAAAUAUUGGCGAGAGACCGAUAGCGAACAAGUACCGUGAGGGAAGAUGAAAAGAACUUUGAAAAGAGAGUUAAACAGUACGUGAAAUUGUCAAAAGGGAAGCGUUUGACACCAGUGUUGUUUUCUCGAAAAUCAAUUAAAAAAGGCCGGAUUUUGUGUUGUAUUGACCUUAAAAGCUUUCUUCACUCUUUUCUUGUCUUUUUUAAUGCACUUUUCGUUUAACAAGUCAACAUCAGUUUCUUUUGUUGUAAAAGGUCAUUGGAAGGUGGCUUUCUUUUCGGAGAAAGUGUUUAUAGCCUUUGAUCUCUGCAACCGGAGAGACUGAGGUCUGCAGCGUAGACUCUUCGGGGUUAGAUACAUUUGUGCUAAGCUAUAGCUUUUCAUAGACAACUUGUUGACUAUAUUUAGUCUUGUGGCUUACUCGCUUAUGCUAUUUUACCUACGCUUAGGAUGUUGAA